UACGAAGGGGGGCUAGCGUUGUUCGGAUUUACUGGGCGUAAAGCGCACGUAGGCGGUUUGUUAAGUCAGGGGUGAAAUCCCACAGCUCAACUGUGGAAACUGCCUUUGAUACUGGCAGCUAGAGUCCGGAAGAGGUAAGUGGAACUCCUAGUGUAGAGGUGGAAUUCGUAGAUAUUAGGAAGAACACCAGUGGCGAAGGCGGCUUACUGGUCCGGAACUGACGCUGAGGUGCGAAAGCGUGGGGAGCAAACAGG
rnacentral:rRNA from 1 species